rnacentral:lncRNA from 1 species
AGGGACGGAGUGCUGCCUUCUCGGGAGUCACACGGGACUGGCUUAGCCCUGGCGAGUGUUUCGCAUCAGGUGACAAGUUGUGCCGAGUGUCUGCCACCCUGCAUGCCCACACUGAAUCCGUGCAGGGCCCUCCCGGCCGCCUGCUCAGCUGUGGACACGGAGCUCCGGCACAGCCAAGUCCUGAAUGACAUGCAGCCAAUUCUCUUGGGCCCUUUCCGGGUUUGUCUGUGGUCCUUCCUUCUGUGUUUCCAGGCUGAGUCCUAAGGCCCUGGUCCUGUGCCCAGUGUGGUGCCUUGGAAGUUCUGAAAGUCACAGCAGCCCAAAGGGAUGAGAAGAUGGAUAUGGCCCGGAGAUAAUGCACACCUCUCGUGGGGACAGUGUCCCCAUCCCCCUCCGGCUGCACUGAAGACCUGGAGCAAUGGCUGCCAUCCAUGCGCGAGGACCCCUCGGAGGUUCCACCUGCACAGACCUUGCUAAGGGUGAGGUGAUUACUAGAAGGAGCACCUUUUCUAGUUAAAAUCUAACUAGAUUCUCCUUGGCAACUUGUCUUACAGAAACAGGUAUAGACUAUCACCUUGCCCAGCUGGGCGCAUCUUCGGAGGGAGGCCUGGGGCCACGUGCACCUAAUGAAGGUGCCUGGGAGGGGGCUGGCUUUCCACUCAGCAAAUGCUUUCUUACAGAAAGACUGUGGGGAGAGUCCGUUUUCUUAGAGCCGUAUGAAGAAAUCCUAAAAACCAACUGCCCAAUCUCAACUCGUAACAGGGAACCUGGGGAGUGACAUCAGAGAUUCCCAAUGUUUUCCUCCUCGUUGAUCCCUGCGAUGAAGGCACUUGCCCAUGUGUAUUCUGUAGUAGGAGUUUGCAUUCUGAAACUGGUCUUUAUUAAAGAACAAACACAUUAUUUACAAAUUAUAGUAAGAGAAA